rnacentral:rRNA from 1 species
AGUGAACGCUGGCGGCAGGCCUAAUACAUGCAAGUCGAACGGCAGCACAGCAGAGCUUGCUCUGUGGGUGGCGAGUGGCGGACGGGUGAGGAAUACAUGGGAAUCUGCCCAGUCGUGGGGGAUAACGUAUGGAAACGUACGCUAAUACCGCAUGCGCCCUAAGGGGGAAAGCCGGGGACCGCAAGGCCUGGCGCGAUUGGAUGAGCCCAUGUUCGAUUAGCUAGUUGGCGGGGUAAAGGCCCACCAAGGCGACGAUCGAUAGCUGGUCUGAGAGGAUGAUCAGCCACACUGGAACUGAGACACGGUCCAGACUCCUACGGGAGGCAGCAGUAGGGAAUAUUGGACAAUGGGGGCGAACCCUCGAUCCAGCCAUGCCG